rnacentral:rRNA from 1 species
GACGUAGGGCGCGAGCGUUGUCCGGAUUUAUUGGGCGUAAAGAGCUCGUAGGCGGCUUGUCGCGUCGACUGUGAAAUCCCGCGGCUCAACCGCGGGUCUGCAGUCGAUACGGGCAGGCUAGAGUUCGGUAGGGGAGACUGGAAUUCCUGGUGUAGCGGUGAAAUGCGCAGAUAUCAGGAGGAACACCGAUGGCGAAGGCAGGUCUCUGGGCCGAUACUGACGCUGGAUGCGCGAAAGCCAGGGGAGCGAACGGG